CUGGAGCCAGCUGGGCAGCAGCGAGAGCCCGAGCUGUUCACCUCACAGAUAAAUAGGUGUAUUACGGAACCACCGAGAAACUUGGUUUACACCUCUGAGAAAAGGGAAUAAACACAGUGUCUCCUUCUAGUUUCCCGGGGAAGAUUAAGCUGGAUGAUGCUUGCGAAGGUCUUAACAGAGAGCCUCCCCAACGUCAGAGCGCCAAAUUAUCAUCUGCUAUAAUGGUUACCGUUUUGCUUCUGCCAUGGCGAGGGCUGUCAGACUUGGCAAAUGAAAAUACAAGACGCCCAGGGAAAUGAGAAUUUCAGGCAGACAACAAACAAUUUGCUCCUCUGGCACAUCCUAACGAUUCCACGAGACAAUGAUUUUACAAAGCUGCAUACACAAAUUUAGCUUGGCACCGAUAUCUGGCUGCACGGAACACUCAAGUUACAUGCUGGGUUUUGCUACAAAUCCUUUGCUCCACCAGAAGAAACUCAACGGUAUCCCUUAAAGAAAUAUUCAGCCUGCCUCUCCUGCUGAGAUUGGGGGGCAGGGGCGGGGGAGUGGCUGACUGUGUGCUAGACUUUGGGGGGCGAGAGGCCUGUCUUGGGAGAGGAGGCAGAGCUGCCAGCCUAUCUCUAACCAGACCUGGCUCCUGCGAGUUCAGCUUCCUGUCCUCUUGUUCAAAAGAGAAUUCAGCAGCAAAUGACACUGUGGAUCUGUCCCUGGCACCGGAUAUAGGACAUGUGUUUAAUUAAAGUUGAUGGUGGCUUGCCCUUCUUUCUCCUGUAGAUUAAUUAAUUAAUGUAUUUGUUGACUCCUUCAUGCAUUUAUUCAUUCCACAAAUACCGGCUGGGCUUCUCUUGGCCCCUGGGCACUGGUGUGUUCUGGGAAUAUCACAGCAAGCUGCAUGCUCUUCCAGCCCAUUCCUCCUGGAGGAGAUGGUAAUAACGAAGUCAUCCCUCUGAGGAAUACAGUAUGACAUACCAGGACAGUGUGACAGAGGACAGCAUCUGCAGGUUGCCUGUAGUCCUUGGCUGGCGGUCCUGUCUCCAUCUUCACAGCCGACAAUGUGGUCCACGCAGGGUCCAAGGUUCCGGUGGUGAGGCCUCUCAAGAAUGAAAGGUCCAAGUGGCCAGACCUGCCUGCUCCUCUACUUGGUUCCAGUAGGCUGAGCCCUCUGGCACUACUUCUGGGUCAUUCCUGGAAGCUGCAAUACCCAUCUUUGCUGACACAUGGGAUAUCUCCAUACGCUUAGGCAUCAGCGAAGGUCUACACCAUCCCUGCCUGGCUAAGGAGGACUUCUGGAAAAGCAUGGGUCUCAGAGGUGCUGACACGGGAGGAUUUCAGAGAUGCACCUGAAGGGCAAGGGUCAAGUGAGUGCUUUCCAAAGGUCUUUUGAUGAAGCAAGAUUUGUUCCCACAUUUCAAAUUGGAGAUGGAAGAGCACGGAUGAAUAGCAACAACGUAAGAGCCCUGUGUUUAUUCUGGGCACAGUCCUGGCCGCUUUCUUGUUAACAUCAAAGUUAACUUCUGUGAUAGUUAAUUGACUGUGUCCACUUGACUAAAAAACACCCAGCUAAAUUGGAUUGGCAUAGUUCUGCAUGUGGCUGAAGGGAUCUACUGAAGACUGAAGACCCAGCCUGGGUGGGCUUGCUGCCUGAAUGGAAUAAAGGGAAAGCAAGAAGGAAGACUCGCUUUUGUUUCUUCCGAGGAGCUCCAGUCUUUCCCUUCAGCUUGGACGUCAUCUCCUGGCUUCCAGUGCAGACCCCUCGGCCUCCAGUGCAGAGCCUUCAGCCUCCUGAUACGGACUCACACCAUGGGACACUACAGUGAGCUCCAGGCCUUCGCCCUUCGAUGGAUCCUUAGGGUCUCCAGCACACAGACAGCUCUUUCGCACUCUUCCACACCUGGCUCUGUGGGUAGCCACUGUAAACCAAUCUUGUAAAUCCUUGUAUUUAUAGAUCUUGCAUUAAAUCCAUUUUUCCAGUGAGCACUGA